UCAAGCGAAUAAGCGCACACGGUGGAUGCCUUGGCGGUCAGAGGCGAUGAAGGACGUGACAGCCUGCGAAAAGCGUGGGGGAGCUGGCAAUAAGCAUUGAUCCCGCGAUGUCCGAAUGGGGAAACCCACUGCUUCGGCAGUAUCCUGCAGUGAAUACAUAGCUGCUGGAAGCGAACCCGGUGAACUGAAAUAUCUAAGUAACCGGAGGAAAAGAAAUCAACCGAGAUUCCCUAAGUAGCGACGAGCGAACGGGGACUAGCCCUUAAGCUGGUAUGGUUCUAGAAAAACAACCUGGAAAGGUUGGCCAUAGAAGGUGAUAGCCCUGUAUUUGAAAGGGCCAUUCCAGUGAAGACGAGUAGGGCGGGGCACGUGAAACCCUGUCUGAACAUGGGGGGACCAUCCUCCAAGGCUAAAUACUCCUGACCGACCGAUAGUGAACCAGUACCGUGAGGGAAAGGCGAAAAGAACCCCGGAGAGGGGAGUGAAAUAGACCCUGAAACCGUGUGCGUACAAGCAGUAGGAGCCCGCAAGGGUGACUGCGUACCUUUUGUAUAAUGGGUCAGCGACUUACAGUUCGUGGCAAGCUUAACCGUAUAGGGGAGGCGAAGGGAAACCGAGUCUGAAUAGGGCGCAUAGUCGCGGGCUGUAGACCCGAAACCGGGUGAUCUAGUCAUGCCCAGGGUGAAGGUGCGGUAACACGCACUGGAGGCCCGAACCCACUCCCGUUGCAAAGGUAGGGGAUGAGGUGUGAUUAGGAGUGAAAAGCUAAUCGAACCCGGAGAUAGCUGGUUCUCCUCGAAAGCUAUUUAGGUAGCGCCUCAUAUGUAUCCUCUCGGGGGUAGAGCACUGUUAUGGCUAGGGGGUCAUCGCGACUUACCAAACCAUUGCAAACUCCGAAUACCGAGACGGACUGUAUGGGAGACACACGGCGGGUGCUAACGUCCGUCGUGAAAAGGGAAACAACCCAGACCCACAGCUAAGGUCCCAAAUUACCGCUAAGUGGGAAACGAUGUGGAAAGGCACAGACAGCCAGGAGGUUGGCUUAGAAGCAGCCACCCUUUAAAGAAAGCGUAAUAGCUCACUGGUCGAGUCGGUCUGCGCGGAAGAUUUAACGGGGCUAAGCGGUAAACCGAAGCUUGGGGUGCAUAACUUUGUUAUGCGCGGUAGAGGAGCGUUCCGUAAGCCUGCGAAGGUGGAUUGAGAAGUCCGCUGGAGGUAUCGGAAGUGCGAAUGCUGACAUGAGUAACGAUAAUGCGGGUGAAAAACCCGCACGCCGAAAGCCCAAGGUUUCCUUGCGCAACGUUAAUCGGCGCAGGGUGAGUCGGCCCCUAAGGCGAGGGCGAAAGCCGUAGUCGAUGGGAAGCUGGUUAAUAUUCCAGCACCUCGCGUAAGUGCGAUGGGGGGACGGAGAAGGUUAGGUCUACCGGGCGUUGGUUGUCCCGGGGAAAGGCGGUAGGUGGAUCUCUUUGGCAAAUCCGGGAGGUCAACACCGAGCACCGAGACGAGCCCUUUAGGGCGAAGUGACUGAUACCACGCUUCCAGGAAAAGCCCCUAAGCUUCAGCUUACGCAGACCGUACCGUAAACCGACACAGGUGGGUAGGAUGAGAAUUCUCAGGCGCUUGAGAGAACUCGGGUGAAGGAACUAGGCAACAUGGCACCGUAACUUCGGGAGAAGGUGCGCCCUUUUUGGUGGCCCAUGCGGGCUAUAGCUGAAGAGGGCCGCAGUAACCAGGCCGCUGCGACUGUUUAUCAAAAACACAGCACUCUGCAAACACGAAAGUGGACGUAUAGGGUGUGACGCCUGCCCGGUGCCGGAAGGUUAAUUGAUGGGGUCAGCCGCAAGGCGAAGCUCUUGAUCGAAGCCCCGGUAAACGGCGGCCGUAACUAUAACGGUCCUAAGGUAGCGAAAUUCCUUGUCGGGUAAGUU
rnacentral:rRNA from 1 species